AGCAGGGCAGGCGCUGGCCCACCUGCAGGACCAGAUCUGCAGCUGGCCUUGCUGUCUUCCCCCUUCAUUCCCCUCUGGGUGGGUCAUGCCAGCAAUGGCUUUAACCAUAGGGCUCCCCGGGGCUGAGGAGCAGUGGGACCAAGUCCUACUGACCAAGGACUAAAAAACGAAGCAAAACAAAACAAAGAAACAGGCCUUCUCUAAGCCAGGCCUGUGGAGCAAAGGAAAUAAUGUAAACAGAGAGAUUAGUUAAAGGAAAAUGAAUUAUUUCCUGCCUCAGCAUUGGCAACCAGCAGAAUCUAAGACCUUAAUUCAGUCUUGUUGUUAGCAACAUACGCUUUGGCUUCACUCUAAUUUUUUUUUUUUUCUUUUUAAGACACACGUCUGUCCCUCACAUGAUCUGGAGGGUUUCUCCAUUUCCAGGAAUUUAUUCUGCAAUAUGCAUUGAGUCUGACCUCUUCCUGAGCUGUAAGUGUUUGUUAGCCCGGGAACACCCCUUCCAGAAGCUUCUGGGAUCCAGUGAGCCCCCAAGGAAAACUCAUAGCCUCACUCAUUUCUAGAGUUUGGGAACGUGCUGGGAGCUGUGUCCGUGGGUGUCUGGAAUGCUCAGGAAGGCGGUUUGUUGGCCACAUUGUAUUGGAGUCACUCGCAGAUUCCUGCGGGCCUAGGACGUAUAAAGAAGCCAGAGAACAGCCUUGUUUUAGGAAAAGAGAGAACUGCUUCUUCUAAAGCUGUCAGGAAGCAAAACAGUUUCUGGGGGUCGAACUUACUUUUCCACAGUUUCUUAACAGAGGCAGGGAUGUUUGAAUGCACUUUUAAAGUGUUUAUGCUCUAAUUGUUAGUGAUAACCAGUCCUACCAGGGUUCUAGAAGCACCUGAGAAUGAGUCUGAAUGUGCAUUGCUGUUCCCCAUGUCCCGCCUCCAGGAAACGUCUUGUGUGGGACCUAGGAAUCCGGAUUUUUAAUCCUGGGUGAUCUUCAUGCAACCGGUGCAGCACCACCACCCAGGAAGUGAUGGUUGCUGGGGAAGCAGGAAACUGGACCUCUGCCCCACUUCAGUGCCCUGGACCAGCCUGCCGUGGGUACUAUCAACUCAGCUAUCAGCAACACUCUGUUAUGAGGAGUACUCUGAGAAAGAACUGACUGGACACUUGUAAGUAAUUUGGAACCCUGGACUCUUUUUUUUUUAAGAUUUAUUUUUUAUUAGAGAGAGAGAGAGAGAGAGCAAGGGAAAGGGAGAGCGAGAGAGAGAGAAUCUCCAGCAGACUCUCCACUGAUCAUGAAGCUUGAUGUGAGGCUCCACCUCAUGACCCAGAGAUCAAGACCUGAAUCAGAAUCAAAAGUUGGACACUUAAACUGACUGAGCCACCCAGGCACCCUUGGAUCCCUGGACUCUUAAUGAAAAGAGAUCAAUCUCUUCAAGGAGGUUAGACUAGACUUUUGGACUUCUGGCUAUUGCCAAAAGCGAUUUUCUGACUCUCCAUUCUAGCAAAUGUUGGAAACAAGUGACCUCAGUUAUAAACCCUACCUCACACUGUGCUCUAAAACUAAAAAUGAUCCAAAUGUUUGCCAGAAGGUGAUUGGAUAAACAAAUUAAGCUGAAGCCAUAUAAACGGAAUAUUACUCAAAGUAAAAAAUGAACUAUUAUCAUUAUAUGUAAUAGAAUGGAUGAAUCUCAAAGUGAUUAUGCUGAGUAAAGAGGUUAGACCACUAGAAGGCCAUACUGAAUGAUUCCAAUUAUAUAAAAUUCUAGAAAAUAUAAACUAAUCUAUAGUGACAGAAAGCAAAUGAGUAGUUGGUUAUCUGAGCAUGAGGUUGUGGGGCAGGCAGGUGUAGAAGCAAGAGAUCAG
rnacentral:lncRNA from 12 species